rnacentral:rRNA from 1 species
AGUGAACGCUGGCGGUAGGCCUAACACAUGCAAGUCGAACGGCAGCACAGUAAGAGCUUGCUCUUACGGGUGGCGAGUGGCGGACGGGUGAGGAAUACAUCGGAAUCUACUUUUUCGUGGGGGAUAACGUAGGGAAACUUACGCUAAUACCGCAUACUACCUACGGGUGAAAGCAGGGGAUCUUCGGACCUUUCGCGAUUGAAUGAGCCGAUGUCGGAUUAGCUAGUUGGCGGGGUAAAGGCCCACCAAGGCGACGAUCCGUAGCUGGUCUGAGAGGAUGAUCGGCCACACUGGAACUGAGACACGGUCCAGACUCCUACGGGAGGCAGCAGUGGGGAAUAUUGGACAAUGGGCGCAAGCCUGAUCCAGCCAUACCGCGUGGGUGAAGAAGGCCUUCGGGUUGUAAAGCCCUUUUGUUGGGAAAGAAAAGCAGCAGGUUAAUACCCCGCUGUUCUGACGGUACCCAAAGAAUAAGCACCGGCUAACUUCGUG